rnacentral:rRNA from 1 species
CCUACGGGUGGCAGCAGUGAGGAAUAUUGGUCAAUGGGCGAGAGCCUGAACCAGCCAAGUUGCGUGAGGGAGUACUGCCCUAUGGGUUGUAAACCUCUUUUGUCGGGGAGCAAAAGCCGGACGUUUCCGGCUGUUCGAGUACCCGAAGAAAAAGCAUCGGCUAACACCGUGCCAGCGGCCGCGGUAAUACGGAGGAUGCGAGCGUUAUCGGGCUUUAUUGGGUUUUACGGGUGCGCAGGCGGAUUUUUAUGUCAGCGGUAAAAUCGUGGGGCUCAACCCCAUCCAGCCGGUGAAACUGGGGGACUAGAGUGUGCGAGAGGAAAGCGGAAUGCGAGGUGUAGCGGUGAAAUGCAUAGAUAUCACGCAGAACCCCGAUUGCGAAGGCAGCAUACCGGUGCACAACUGACGCUCAGGCACGAAAGCGUGGGUAUCGAACAGGAUUAGAUACCCGAGUAGUC